rnacentral:tRNA from 1 species
GGUCCUAUAGUGUAGUGGUUAGCACGUGGGUUUUUGAGCGAUCAUCGCCUACCCGAGUCCCAAGUUCGAACCUUGGUAGGACCU